rnacentral:rRNA from 1 species
UACGUAGGGGGGCAAGCGUUGUCCGGAAUCAUUGGGCGUAAAGCGCGUGUUAGGCGGCCCGGUAAGUCCGCUGUGAAAGUCGGGGGCUCAACCCUCGAAUGCCGGUGGAUACUGUCGGGCUAGAGUGCGGGAGAGGCGAGUGGAAUUCCUGGUGUAGCGGUGAAAUGCGCAGAUAUCAGGAGGAACACCGGUGGCGAAGGCGGUUCUCUGGGCAUGUCCUGACGGCUGAGGAGCGAAAGUGUGGGGAGCGAACAGG